ensembl:snRNA U6 U6 spliceosomal RNA
GUGCUGCUUUAGCAGCAUAUAUACUAAAAUUGGAAUGACAGAGAUUAGUAUGUCCCUUGUAUAAGGAUGACAUACAAAUUUAUGAAGCUUUAAAAAAAAAA